GUCCAUUAUGUUGAUUUGGGACAUGUCGUGUCAAUUGGUAUCAGAGCAUUUUUAUAAAGUUUCAUAGUUCAUACAUUGACAUAUCAUGCAUAUUCAGUGAGUAUGAUCAUAUGUCGUGGUGGCAGAAAUCAUAAGCUCUCAAGCUAUUGCUCUAGAAUAUUUGGAACCUAAAAUGGUAGAAAAAUACUUUUAACAUAUUUAGAAAUGAAUAGUAUGUAAGUAUGUCAAUUGCAAUGAUCUGCUGGUUGAAAUUGUUAUUAGUUGUUGGGUUGGAAUUGUUGUGUAUGUAGCCUAUUAAGAGUUGAACAGAUUGCUAGUUUAAACGUGAAAGUUUCGAUGGUUUUGCAGGUUAAAUACUUAUAGGCAUUUAAAG
rnacentral:lncRNA from 1 species